rnacentral:rRNA from 1 species
AGCGAACGCUGGCGGCAGGCUUAACACAUGCAAGUCGAGCGGGCAUAGCAAUAUGUCAGCGGCAGACGGGUGAGUAACGCGUGGGAACGUACCUUUUGGUUCGGAACAACGCAGGGAAACUUGUGCUAAUACCGGAUAAGCCCUUACGGGGAAAGAUUUAUCGCCGAAAGAUCGGCCCGCGUCUGAUUAGCUAGUUGGUGAGGUAAUGGCUCACCAAGGCGACGAUCAGUAGCUGGUCUGAGAGGAUGAUCAGCCACAUUGGGACUGAGACACGGCCCAAACUCCUACGGGAGGCAGCAGUGGGGAAUAUUGGACAAUGGGCGCAAGCCUGAUCCAGCCAUGCCGCGUGAGUGAUGAAGGCCCUAGGGUUGUAAAGCUCUUUUGUGCGGGAAGAUAAUGACGGUACCGCAAGAAUAAGCCCCGGCUAACUUCGUG